AGAGUUUGAUCAUGGCUCAGGAUGAACGCUGGCGGCGUGCUUAACACAUGCAAGUCGAACGGGCCUAAGACUGAAGCUUGCUUUAGUUUAGGUUAGUGGCGGACGGGUGAGUAACGCGUGGGUAACCUACCCUGUGCAGGGGGAUAGCAGCUGGAAACGGCUGAUAAAACCGCAUAACACGGCAAGAUCGCAUGAUGAUGCCGUCAAAUAUUUAUAGGCACAGGAUGGGCCCGCGUCUGAUUAGCUAGUUGGCGGGGCAACGGCCCACCAAGGCGACGAUCAGUAGCCGGCCUGAGAGGGUGAACGGCCACAUUGGGACUGAGACACGGCCCAAACUCCUACGGGAGGCAGCAGUGGGGAAUAUUGGACAAUGGGGGGAACCCUGAUCCAGCGACGCCGCGUGAGUGAAGAAGUAUUUCGGUAUGUAAAGCUCUAUCAGCAGGGAAGAUGAUGACGGUACCUGACUAAGAAGCACCGGCUAAAUACGUGCCAGCAGCUGC
rnacentral:rRNA from 1 species